rnacentral:rRNA from 1 species
AAUAUUGCACAAUGGGCGCAAGCCUGAUGCAGCAACGCCGCGUGAGGGAUGAAUGCCUUCGGGUUGUAAACCUCUUUUAGUAGGGAAGAAGCGAAAGUGACGGUAACUGCAGAACAAGCACCGGCUAACUACGUGCCAGCAGCCGCGGUAAUACGUAGGGUGCAAGCGUUGUCCGGAAUUAUUGGGCGUACAGAGAGCGUAGGCGGCUGGCCACGUCUGCUGUGAACACCCGAGGCUCAACCUCGGGCUUGCAGUGGGUACGGGCAGGCUAGAGUGCGGUAGGGGAGAUUGGAAUUCAUGGUGUAGCGGUGGAAUGCGCAGAUAUCAGGAGGAACACCGAUGGCGAAGGCAGAUCUCUGGGCCGCUACUGACGCUGAGGAGCGAAAGCAUGGGGAGCGAAC